GUUUAGAGAGGAGGAUGGCA
rnacentral:miRNA from 1 species